GGGGGUGACUAGUGACAGAGUGAGGGAAGGGGUGACCAGUGGCAGAGUGAGGGAAGGGGUGACUAGUGACAGAGUGAAGGAGGUGGUGACUGUCACUAGUCACCCCCUCCCUCUCUCUGUCACUAGUCACCCCCUCCCUCUCUCUUUCACUAGUCACCCCCUCUCUCACUAUGUCACUAGUCACCCCCUCUCUCACUAUGUCACUAGUCACCCCCUUCCUCACUCUGUCACUAGUCACCCCC